rnacentral:rRNA from 1 species
UACGUAGGGGGCAAGCGUUGUCCGGAUUUAUUGGGCGUAAAGAGCGUGUAGGCGGCCAGACAGGUCCGUUGUGAAAACUCGAGGCUCAACCUCGAGACGUCGACGGAAACCGUCUGGCUAGAGUCCGGAAGAGGAGUGUGGAAUUCCUGGUGUAGCGGUGAAAUGCGCAGAUAUCAGGAAGAACACCUAUGGCGAAGGCAGCACUCUGGGACGGUACUGACGCCGAGACGCGAAAGCGUGGGGAGCGAACAGG